AGCAAAUUUUCAAUCCGACCUAAGUAACAAAAUAAACAAAAAUGAGGUUUUUGCAUAUAAUGAUACUUUAUGGAUUGCUUAACACUGUUCUGCAAGGGCACAAGUCAAAAAUAGUUUAAAACUUUUGGAAUUUGAAAAAUCAAAUUGACUUAAGUAACAUACUGAGCACUUUUCGUAUGUGUCGCUUUGUCGGUACAAUGACUGAUGUAACGCGCAUAACUCUCAAGCGACGUAACAGCGCUGUGAAAACGACCUAACAAUCAAUUUUUGUCAACAUAAAUCAUAAAUCUUUACGUCAAAACAUAAACUGACUUAAUUAAAUCACCUGAGCGAUUCCCGGCAGACUACCUUAUAUUGGAGACUCUCGUGAACUUUUCCUGGACUCCCUUUAUGGAUCGCGCCAGAAAGAGGAGUCGGCGUAUCUCAUCAGGUAGGCGUGCGCUGGCCGAUCUGGACGAUGGUGAACCAAGAAUGCGCAGACAUCCACGGCACUCAGAAAACUCAGUAUACCGGUGGCUAAACAUUGCCAAGCUUCUGUGCCCCGAACACUGUGGUCAGCUCGAGUGCCUUAAACUGACCGUCAGUCCCCGAUUUGCAGACAAACGGAUCGGCUACCAGGAGCAAUGCUGCUGCUUCCCGAACGGCACGAUGUCCACCAGCUGACCACAAAUUGUUUGGUAUAUGACCUCAAUAGUACCCAGUUCGUUGUAAGUCUGGCACGAAGUAUCCUUGGAGCCAAUCGUUUCGCCGGAUAUGGCCCGUGAUUUGGCUGGCAAGUUAAACCUCAUAGAAAUCUUCCUGACGACGAACCGAUUACAGCUGAACAAGAAGAAACACGGUAUCAACCGCUGGCGUCACCUUUAUAAUUGGAAUGUGAGAGAAAAGCCGAGAGGUACAGGAGAAAAUCCUCCUAUUAUAUGGGAUAUUCAAUCCCAUCAAUCAGGACACUAAUGCCAUCAGGGACGAGCAAAAACCUCGGGAAAACUAUUCUGUACUGGCCGGUGCGAGUGCUAACGAACAGUAUCAGAGCCGUGCAGUGACCUGGUAAUACCACAAAGUCAGUACUACCUUGGAAUGUCUCAAUGUUACGGACAUUUCGAUACGACGUCGGAGAUCUAGUUCCCCUUGGUCAAUAUUCACAACACUUGGCUAUGUUCAUGAAGUUAUUGAUUUUUCGGAAAACACAGAAAGAACAAA